UACGUAGGGCGCAAGCGUUGUCCGGAAUUAUUGGGCGUAAAGAGCUCGUAGGCGGUCUGUUGCGUCUGCCGUGAAAACCCGAGGCUUAACCUCGGGCCUGCGGUGGAUACGGGCGGACUAGAGGUAGGUAGGGGAGACUGGAAUUCCUGGUGUAGCGGUGAAAUGCGCAGAUAUCAGGAGGAACACCGGUGGCGAAGGCGGGUCUCUGGGCCGAUACUGACGCUGAGGAGCGAAAGCGUGGGGAGCGAACAGG
rnacentral:rRNA from 1 species